rnacentral:rRNA from 1 species
GUGGGGAAUAUUGGGCAAUGGGGGAAACCCUGACCCAGCAACGCCGCGUGAGGGAAGAAGGUUUUCGGAUUGUAAACCUCUGUCCUUGGUGACGAAGGAAGUGACGGUAACCAAGGAGGAAGCCCCGGCUAACUACGUGCCAGCAGCCGCGGUAAUACGUAGGGGGCAAGCGUUGUCCGGAAUGACUGGGCGUAAAGGGCGUGUAGGCGGCCGAUUAAGUCUGGAGUGAAAGUCCUGCUUUCAAGGUGGGAAUUGCUUUGGAGACUGGUUGGCUUGAGUGCGGAAGAGGUAAGUGGAAUUCCCAGUGUAGCGGUGAAAUGCGUAGAGAUUGGGAGGAACACCAGUGGCGAAGGCGACUUACUGGGCCGUAACUGACGCUGAGGCGCGAAAGCGUGGGGAGCGAACAGGAUUAGAUACCCCUGUAGUCC